CCUAUGGGAGGCAGCAGUGAGGAAUAUUGGUCAAUGGCCGGAAGGCUGAACCAGCCAAGUCGCGUGAGGGAAUAAGGCCCUAUGGGUCGUAAACCUCUUUUGUCAGGGAACAAAGGCGGGGACGUGUCCCCGGAUGAGUGUACCUGAAGAAAAAGCAUCGGCUAACUCCGUGCCAGCAGCCGCGGUAAUACGGAGGAUGCGAGCGUUAUCCGGAUUUAUUGGGUUUAAAGGGUGCGCAGGCGGUCUGUUAAGUCAGCGGUCAAAGCCCGGGGCUCAACCCCGGCCCGCCGUUGAAACUGGCAGUCUCGAGUUGGAGAGAAGUAUGCGGAAUGCGCGGUGUAGCGGUGAAAUGCAUAGAUAUCGCGCAGAACUCCGAUUGCGAAGGCAGCAUGCCGGCUCCACACUGACGCUGAGGCACGAAAGCGUGGGUAUCGAACAGGAUUAGAUACCCUAGUAGUC
rnacentral:rRNA from 1 species